UCGAGAAUCUUCCCCAAUGGACGAAAGUCUGAGGGAGCGACGCCGCGUGCAGGAAGAAGCCCUUCGGGGUGUAAACUGCUUUUCUUGAAGACUAACUCUGAAUGUACUCAAGGAAUAGGGGCUGCUAACUUCGUGCCAGCAGCAGCGGUAAUACGAAGGCCCCGAGCGUUAUCCGGAUUUAUUGGGCGUAAAGCGUUCAACGGUGGUUUGGUAAGUACCCGGUCAAAUCUCACGGCUCAACCGUGAGGCU
rnacentral:rRNA from 1 species